UACCACUCAAGAAUGCUUCUACCAUUUGAUUAACAAAACUACGUGUUUUGUUAUUUGGGAAGCAAAAUCGUCCACCCUUGAAGCUUUAUCAAGAUCAAAGCCUAGAAGCGUAUGACCCUGGAUACUAGAUUUAGCACUAACUGUAGCUAUUUGAUCUUUGCAUUACCAGCUAUAAAUGUAUAUCAACUCUUGAUGCAUUAUACCUCACUGGAUGGUAUUAUCAUAAUAUUUUUGUUUGGUUU
rnacentral:lncRNA from 1 species